GCCAGAUCCUGCCUGCCUUUGGCGGCUCUGAGUCUCAGGGCCAUCUGAGAACACCCGAGGUCCACAAUGCCUCACAGGUUGAGUGACUUCAGCCGUGCCAGGGACCUCAAAGCCAGAACAGCCUGGGCAUGUGGAGCUAACCUGCUUCUGGAGCUGGUGGAUUGAAGCUCUCAAGUGCAGACUGGCUGGUCGCUGGUUGGUGCUUAGACCCCUCUUGCCAGCUGGUCCCCAGAGAACCACCUCAUCCACCUCAUGGAAGGAAAAUCAAACAAAGGCGAUGGCAAAGCAGAACCCAACACCAGUGCCGACGCUGCGUGCACCCGGGACCCCUUGAGGAGCUGGACGGCUGCAGAGCAGCCUCCUGCAGGAAUCUGGCUGAUGGGCUCCGGCUGUGGCUGUGAGGCGUGUGGAAAUGGCCACCAAGCCACGGCCGUGUGGCUCAGCAGCUGCUCUCACCACUAAACAUGCCAGAGGUUCAGUCUAGUGGCGGCUGGCUUUGUCUACCAGGUUCAGAAACCCAGCAGAAAACACCAGAGGCCACAUCAGUGAAAAGUACCUGAUGUCACUGACAUCUCUGAGGGACGCAAGCCACACCUUUCUUGCAUCUGCCUGUAAAGUCAAGAACCUGAAACUGAAUAAACCCAGCAAAUGACGAAAAACACCCUGCUCCUGUUCCAACAGUGCAAGAGGAAGAAGGGGAGGUGGACAGGGGAGGGGCUGGGACAACUGCUGGGGACACAGCCCGUCUGGGGAUUGGCCCGCGGUGGCUCCUAAGGGACCCCAGGCCACACCCUUCAACCAACCUGCCCGGGUCGCUGCUCCUCCUGCCCUCACAGGCCUGUGCUGACCCGGCUUGGUGGUGCCUCUGCUGCUGGCUUGGCACCUGCUCAGCUGCUGGCACUUACGGAUGCCCCCCACUGCCCCAGCCUCACUCUGGGGUUCAGGCCCCGGAAGGCCGGUCUUGCCUCAUCCCACUAGGUCUCCGUUGUGUGGGUGAUGUGGAUCUUUUCCCACCGGGGUGCCCUGUGUGCCCGCUUCCCAGGGUCAACAGGAAAUACACCUCACCACUACAUGUUAUUUAUCCACUUACCACUUUCCCUUUUCUGGAACAAGAAAAAUUACAAGAACAGAAAACAGAGCAGUGGUUGCCAGGGAUGGAAGGAGGGGAGAAAGGUGUGCCCCGCAGGGAGUUUUAGGGUGGCGGACUUGUUCUGUGUGGCUCUACGGGGGAGGUCUGUGACCCAUACACUUGUGACACCUGUGGGACACUGUGAAGAGU